UAUCUAUCGUGUUUAGAAUAUUCUUAUAAUUAUCAAUUUCAUGAGCUUUGUCUUUAAUAAGUCUUAGGCGCCUUUAUUGCAAGAAAUCUGGUACAACUUCAGGACGGAAUUAUUGAGUGUAUCAAUAUCAGGAAGAACAAAACAGAAGGAACAGAAUUUAGUGUCGUCUUUAUAGGCAUCCCAGCGUGAGUUUACUACAAGUCAAAACAUAUGGAAUCGUUAAUNCUCAUGUGUUAAUAUAACCUUCACCGCCAGACAAGUCGCACGCGAAUACCUGCUUUGGUUAAACGGUCCGACUCAAGCUGGUGCACAUAAACUAAUAUGUGGAGAUAUAGUCAUUGAACGUGCAGAAGGUCGUACAACAACUCAAGGAAUGUCAGGAGUCAGAUUAAGUGACUGAUAAACAGACUCUACAGAUGCUAUGGUGACCAGUCUAGGGCAUGCCAAUGGAAAGCUCUUCCUUAUAUAGACAUCGCCCGCUACAAUCCUUGGUAUCAGGUUUUGCGAAUGACCUUGAUAUAAUAUAUUUUACAUUACGAUCUGGACCUCAGUUUGGUAGUGACGUACAACCAGAUCGCGAUCAAUACGCCCCUGGGUAACACUAAUAGGGCGAGCAAUGAGGUCUUUAUAUGAAGUUGUUCACGUGCGAACACUGAGCGUCUCAACUUAUAAAUCAAGUACAUACAUUUAUUAAUAUAUUCCAAUAUAUCUCAAUCCUAAGUCCUAUAAUUUGCCUUGUAAAGGAUUUACGGGGACUUCAUUUAUGUUUUCGGUGCNAAGGACGAUAAAUGGAACGACUAAGAUAGGAAUACGACUCCUAUUAAGCAUCCUGGGGCAUAUCAGUAUUGUUAUCCAGGAAUCAAUGACUAUUACUGG
rnacentral:misc_RNA from 1 species